GACAGAGGUCCCGAGCGUUAUGCGGAAUCACUGGGCUUAAAGCGUGUGUAGGCGGCGGCCUAAGUACCUUGUGAAAUCCCACGGCUCACCCGUGGAACUGCUCGGUAUACUGGGUCGCUUGAGCCACUUAGGGGCUACCGGAACAAAUGGUGGAGCGGUGAAAUGCGUAGAUAUCAUUUGGAACGCCAAUGGUGAAAACAGGUAGCUGGGAGUGUGCUGACGCUGAGACACGAAAGCCAGGGGAGCAAACGGG
rnacentral:rRNA from 1 species